GCCCAAAUUAGCCGCCUGGAUCCAAAAACUUAAUAGCUUUGGCUUAGAUGCCACAGGAACUUUCUUUUCUCGUUAUGGAGCAUCUCUUAAACUGCUUGAUUUUAGUAUCAUGACUUUCCUCUGGAAUGAGAAAUAUGGUCACAAACUAGACUCUAUAGAAGGAAAGCAACUUGAUUAUUUCUCUGAGCCAGCAUCAUUGAAGGAAGCCCGUUGUUUAAUAUGGCUACUAGAAGAACACAGAGACAAGUUCCCAGCAUUGCAUAGUGCUUUAGAUGAAUUCUUUGAUAUAAUGGGAUACUGCUUCAUGACUGAAGGUGACAUGCUACUUGAUAGCCUGAAUUUAUUGCCAUCAGUUUGCUGCUGCUGACAGCCGCUGUACGGUGUUAAGGAAACAAGAUAGUGGUGAAGCACCGUUUAGUUCAACCAAGGUGAAAAACAAAAGCAAGAAAAAGAAGCCAAAGGAUUCAAAGCCUAUGUUAGUUGGGUCUGGAACAACUUCAGUAACUCCAAAUAAUGAGAUCAUCACUUCAAGUGAAGACCAUAGCAAUCGAAAUUCAGAUUCUGCAGGCCCAUUUGCAGUGCCUGACCAUCUUCGGCAAGAUGUAGAAGAAUUUGAAGCUCUCUAUGACCAACACAGUAACGAAUAUGUUGUCCGCAAUAAGAAGCUAUGGGACAUGAACCCAAAACAAAAAUGUUCAACUCUGUAUGAUUACUUCUCUCAGUUUUUGGAGGAACAUGGUCCCUUGGACAUGAGUAACAAGAUGUUCUCUGCAGAAUAUGAGUUUUUCCCAGAAGAAACUCGACAGAUACUAGAAAAAGCAGGAGGUUUAAAACCUUUUCUCUUGGGAUGCCCUCGUUUUGUUGUGAUUGACAACUGUAUUGCACUGAAGAAGGUUGCAUCACGGCUCAAGAAAAAAAGGAAGAA
rnacentral:sRNA from 1 species